rfam:Oryza sativa (indica cultivar-group) chromosome 9, whole genome shotgun sequence.
UAUUACCAAAGCAAUUGCAACAUCUAACUGUCUGUCUUAUUUGAAAAUGUUUUAUGAUUAGUAUUGUUAUUAUUAUUAGAUGAUAAAACAUGAAUAUUACUUUAUGCGUGACUCUUUUUUAAUAUUUUUCAUAAAUUUUUCAAAUAAGACGGACGGUCAAACGUUGAACACAGAAACCCACAACUGCACUUAAA